GCUCAUGUCGGUCUGUCGGUCUGUCGGUCCACCAGGUGGUUUCCGGAUGAUAACUCAAGAAGGCUUGGGCCUAGGAUCAUGAAACUUCAUAGGAACAUUGAUCAUGACUCGCAGAUGACCCCUAUUGAUUUUGAGGUCACUAGGUCAAAGGUCAAGGUCAUGGUGACCCGAAAUAGUAAAAUGGUUUCCGGAUGAUAACUCAAGAACGCUUAUGCCUAGGAUCAUGAAACUUGAUAGGUAGAUUGAUCAGGACUCGCAGAUGACCCCUAUUGAUUUUCAGGUCACUAGGUCAAAGGUCAAGGUCACGGUGACCCGAAAUAGUAAAAUGGUUUCCGGAUGAUAACUCAAGAACGCUUAUGCCUAGAAUCAUGAAACUUCAUAGGUAGAUUGAUAAUGACUGGCAGAUGACCCCUAUUGAUUUUCAGGUCACUAGGUCAAAGGUCAUGGUGACCCGAAAUAGUAAAAUGGUUUCCGGAUGAUAACUCAAGAACGCUUAUGCCUAGGAUCAUGAAACUUGAUAGGUAGAUUGAUAAUGACUCGCAGAUGACCCCUAUUGAUUUUCAGGUCACUAGGUCAAAGGUCAAGGUCACGGUGACCCGAAAUAGUAAAAUGGUUUCCGGAUGAUAACUCAAUAACGCUUAUGCCUAGGAUCAUGAAACUUCAUAGGUACAUUGAUCAUGACUCGCAAAUGACCCCUAUUGAUUUU